rnacentral:rRNA from 1 species
AACGAACGCUGGCGGCAGGCUUAACACAUGCAAGUCGAACGCAUCCUUCGGGGUGAGUGGCAGACGGGUGAGUAACGCGUGGGAACGUGCCCUUCAGUUCGGGAUAACCCAGGGAAACUUGGGCUAAUACCGGAUACGUGCGAGAGCAGAAAGAUUUAUCGCUGAAGGAUCGGCCCGCGUUGGAUUGGCUAGUUGGUGGGGUAAUGGCCCACCAAGGCGACGAUCAGUAGCUGGUCUGAGAGGAUGAUCAGCCACAUUGGGACUGAGACACGGCCCAAACUCCUACGGGAGGCAGCAGUGGGGAAUAUUGGACAAUGGGCGCAAGCCUGAUCCAGCCAUGCCGCGUGAGUGAUGAAGGCCUUAGGGUUGUAAAGCUCUUUCGUCCGGGACGAUAAUGACGGUACCGGAAGAAGAAGCCCCGGCUAACUUCGUGCCAGCAGCCGCAGUAA